rnacentral:tRNA from 1 species
GGAGGAAUGGCAGAGCGGUCGAUUGCGGCAGUCUUGAAAACUGUUGAACCUUCGCGGGUUCCGGGGGUUCGAAUCCCUCUUCCUCCG